rnacentral:rRNA from 1 species
GUCGAACGGUAACAGGUCUUUCGGGAUGCUGACGAGUGGCGGACGGGUGAGGAAUACAUCGGAAUCUGCUCAGUCGUGGGGGAUAACGCAUGGAAACGUGCGCUAAUACCGCAUACGACCUUCGGGUGAAAGCAGGGGAAUCUCUCGGGAUCCUUGCGCGAUUGAAUGAGCCGAUGUCGGAUUAGCUAGUUGGUAGGGUAAAAGCCUACCAAGGCCACGAUCCGUAGCUGGCCUGAGAGGAUGAUCAGCCACACUGGGACUGAGACACGGCCCAGACUCCUGCGGGAGGCAGCAGUGGGGAAUAUUGGACAAUGGGGGCAACCCUGAUCCAGCCAUACCGCGUGGGUGAAGAAGGCCUUCUGGGUUGUAAAGCCCUUUUGUUGGGGAAGAAAAACAACGGGUUAAUACCCCGUUGGUAUGACGGUACCCAAAGAAUAAGCACCGGCUAACUUCGUGCCAGCAGCCGCGGUAAUACGAAGGGUGCAAGCGUUACUCGGAAUUACUGGGCGUAAAGGGUGCGUAGGUGGUUGCGCCAGUCUGUCGUGAAAGCCCUGGGCUUAACCUGGGAAUGGCGAUGGAAACUGUGCAACUAGAGUGUGACAGAGGGUGGUGGAAUUCCUGGUGUAGCAGUGAAAUGCGUAGAGAUCAGGAGGAACAUUCGUGGCGAAGGCGGCCACCUGGGUCAACACUGACACUGAGGCACGAAAGCGUGGGGAGCAAACAGGAUUAGAUACCCUGGUAGUCCACGCCCUAAACGAUGCGAACUGGAUGUUGGGUCCAACUUGGGAUUCAGUAUCGAAGCUAACGCGUUAAGUUCGCCGCCU